rnacentral:rRNA from 1 species
CACGUAGGGGGCAAGCGUUGUCCGGAUUUAUUGGGCGUAAAGAGCUCGUAGGCGGCUCGGUAAGUCGGGUGUCAAAUCCUCAGGCUCAACCUGGGGCACCACCCGAUACUGCUGUGGCUAGAGUCCGGUAGGGGAGCGUGGAAUUCCUGGUGUAGCGGUGAAAUGCGCAGAUAUCAGGAGGAACACCAGCGGCGAAGGCGGCGCUCUGGGCCGGAACUGACGCUGAGGAGCGAAAGCGUGGGUAGCAAACAGG